AUUGAACGCUGGCGGCAGGCCUAACACAUGCAAGUCGAACGAGUGGCGGACGGGUGAGUAAUGUCUGGAAACUGCCCGAUGGAGGGGGAAAAAUACUUGAAACGGGAGACAAUAACCCAUACCAUCGGAAUUUCCCACAUGUGUAUAGCUAGUAGGUGGGGUAAAGGCUCACCAAGGCGACGAUCCCUAGCUGGUCGGAGAGGAUGACCAGCAACACUGGAACUUAGACACGGUCCAGACUCCUAAGGGAGGCAGCAGUGGGGAAUAUUGCACAAUGGGCGCAAGCCUGAUGCAGCCAUGCCGCGUGUAUGAAGAAGGCCUUCGGGUUGUAAAGUACUUUCAGCGGGGAGGCGUUACCCGCAGAAGAAGCACCGGCUAACUCCGUGCCAGCAGCCGCGGUAAUAC
rnacentral:rRNA from 1 species